rnacentral:lncRNA from 1 species
AAACAUGCUCGCUUGAAAAUAAAACGUGCUUAGUGAAAACGUGAUAGAACCUAGCAUGAUAUUCUAUGCGCAUUUACAUUCACAUAAUGCAAAUAAAAUCAUGGUCAAAACACCAUAACGGUGAUUAAAACCACGACAUGAUAAGAACAAUAAAAAAAAUUCUUCGCGGCUCAUUCGUGGAAUCCCAUUUCUAAUCUAUUACAUUAAAAGAAAAGAAAUAAAAAAUGGACAAUAAAAUGCCCAAAAACCGCCUAAACAGGCUGGAAAAAAAAAAAAAAAACCGAUCCAGCCCUUGUUUGGGCCCAAAACACGCGGCCCAGCCGCCCAGGCCCGUCCAGCAGUGGCCCGGAUCCACAAGGAGCAGCUCAGGCCCGCAAGGAGCAACCCAGACCCGCGAAUAAUCGGCCCAGAACCCAGGCCCAGUCAACCCUCCUCUUUGACCCGGUCAGAUUAGGGUUUUCAGCCCCAAUUCUCAUUUCUCGGGAAACGCGCCGCACAGAAGAGGCGCUGCACUGAAUCCGGUCGAUC